AGCGAACGCUGGCGGCAGGCCUAACGCAUGCAAGUCGAACGAACCUUUCGGGGUUAGUGGCGGACGGGUGAGUAACACGUGGGAACGUGCCUUUAGGUUCGGAAUAACUCAGGGAAACUUGUGCUAAUACCGAAUGUGCCCUUCGGGGGAAAGAUUUAUCGCCUUUAGAGCGGCCCGCGUCUGAUUAGCUAGUUGGUUGAGGUAAUGGCUCACCAAGGCGACGAUCAGUAGCUGGUCUGAGAGGAUGAUCAGCCACAUUGGGACUGAGACACGGCCCAAACUCCUACGGGAGGCAGCAGUGGGGAAUCUUGCGCGAUGGGCGAAAGCCUGACGCAGCCAUGCCGCGUGAAUGAUGAAGGUCUUAGGAUUGUAAAAUUCUUUCACCGGGGACGAUAAUGACGGUACCCGGAGAAGAAGCCCCGGCUAACUUCGUG
rnacentral:rRNA from 1 species